UGGCUCUCCCAUCGAUGAAGAACGCAGCGAAAUGCGAUAAGUAAUGUGAAUUGCAGAAUUCAGUGAAUCAUCGAAUCUUUGAACGCACCUUGCACCCAUUGGUAUUCCGAUGGGUAUGCCUGUUUGAGUGUCAUUAAAUUCUCAACCUGACAAGCUUUAUUGUCUUGUUCGGCUUGGAUGUGAGGGUUAUUGCUGGCUCCCUUCAGUGUGGUGGUCAGCUCCCUUGAAAUGCAUUAGUGGAAUCCUUGGUGGUUCGUCACUAGAGUGUGAUAAUUUAUCUACGCUCCGAAUUGACUUGAGCCUUACCAUGUGUAAUGGAAUCUGCUUACAACCGUCCUUUCGUUGGACAAUUUAUUGACAAUUUGACCUCAAAUCAGGUAGGACUACCCGCUGA
rnacentral:misc_RNA from 1 species